UGUUGUAUUAUAAUUUAAUGUUCUGUUUUUUUAGAGACACAGAAGACCCAGCCAGAUGCAAGCAGCAUUGCUGAGAUACAGAAGACCCAGACGGAUUCAAACAGUGCUGCUGGAGGGUCUAAUGCAAGUGCUAAAAACCCCAGGAAGAGGACAAGAACGCUGUGGUCAAAGCAAGAGGUGAUGGCUGUGAUGAAGCAUUUCAAACCUCACAUAACCAAGGGAAAUCUGGCAACCAUGGCAGAAUGUCAGCAGUGCAAGGAUGCUGAAGACCCUGUGCUUGCCGGUCGAACAGCACAAAAUAUAAGAGAUUUUGUUAGAAAUCGAGGAAUCACCAAUAAAAGAAAAAUGCAGUCAAGCUAAAUAUAUUUUGUUUAGGGACAUGUGAGUUCAUGUUUUUCUUUUUUACUUUUUUUUGUUUGUUUAGGGACAUGUCAUUUAUGUUUAUCUGUUUACUUCUUUUCAUAAUCAAGGAAAUAGUAAUUUAUUUUUUUUCCUGCAGCAGAGUAACUAGAAAUGUUAUUUCUGAUUUGUUUCUGAUGUUAAACUGGUACUGUUGAACACAAGCAGGUAGAACAUGUGCCAAUAUCAUUGUUUACAAGGACCUGCAGUCAUGUGUAUAUUUGUGUGUAUUCAAGUACCAGUAAAUCA